GAAGAGGGACAGCAUGCUGGUAGUUUAUCUUACGUGUGGCUUAGAUCCAGGCAUUUGGAGGCUGUGGUGUGAUGCAGUCAAGUGCUACAGGAAAAACAUGCUGACAGUUCCAUUACUUUGAGAGACAGGAACACGGCAUGACUGUCUCCUGAGAGGCUUCAUCCAGCAGAGAUGCAGUCAGAUGCAGAGACCCACGACCAAACAUCAGGCAGAGCCCGGGGAGCCUGGUGGAAGGCUGGGGGAUAGAGGUGAGCAAGUCGGAGGGAUCAAAGACACCACGAGCAGAUGCAGAGUCAACUAACUUGGGACCAUGGGGGCUCACAGAGCCUGGGCCACCAACCAGGGAGCAUGCCUUCUGCCAAGGCUGAUGACUUGAUUUUGAUCUCUGGAACACACAUGGUGGGAGGAGAAAACAGCCUCCCCAGAACUGUUCUGUUUUUCACACUUGUACAUUGGCACACAUGCACCCAUAGACUAAACACACAAACAAUAAUCGCACAGAACUUCAAGUUGACAUUGUGAGAUCGAAGCAUUAUUGGUGCUCUCUGAACACAGGUGCUCAGUCUCUGAGCACAGUAAACUGAACACGAUUUAAGUGUUGGAGUAUGUAAAUGAGUCUAUGCUCCUUAAACGGACUGGAAAUUAAGAAUGCUAUGCUAAUCCUUACUUACUCUCCUCCGGAGUUACACACAGAGUACUACACAGGGCUAUACUCAUACUGAGCCACAUUAGAAUCUGAGGAGAAAGGGGGAAAAUUAAGAAUGCAGAUCUUGCUUUUGUUUAAAAUCCUGACCUUUUGUUUACACCCCACCUUGAUUAGGGGCUUUAAACACAUUGUGAUGAAAAUAAUCUACCUUGAUAAGUCUUACCAGUGGUGUGUCUUACUCAUCUAACCCUAGUCCUUCACAUAAGAACUGACUGGGUUCAUCAGCUGACAGUCUGAGGGAAGGAGAGAGUGCCAGGCAUGUCAUGGACUCUGUAUGAGGUGAUUUACAUACGGCAUCUCAUUAAUUCUCCUAGUGGUGUAGACCGGCAGAUGUUUGUACUCUGCAGCUUACAGUACAUACUGAAACUGUAUCUCAGGCUGAUCUAACUCCAAGAACUGAUCACAGUGUCUCCAAGGAGUCUCGUUGGGAGCCAGUGAACGUACACAGGGCAGUGCCCUUUGUUUGAUUUUCUCUCUGAGAACGAGACCUAAGCUUUCUUGACAGUCAACAGUAGUACUGGUUUCAAAUACAGCCUAGUCUGCAUUCUUCUGUAAAGGCAGGCAAUUCCCAAAUCACCAUGUCUCAACUGACUUGCUCUUUCUACAGCGCAAACACACACAACUUUGUUGUGCUGCUUUCAUGAGAAGACGUUCACAAUGUUAUGGUAAGAGAGGCAGACAUGAAGAGGGAUUUACACACUGCAGCUAUGAUGGCACUUACCAAUAAGGCACAUCAUGGUUUGUUGACAAACUACAUACCUUGGCUUAACUUAUAAAGGGAAAAAUUUUUUUUUGGUUACUUAGGGCUGUUUUCAUUAUGUGCCAAUGGAUUGCUGUGAGGAAUACACACCAGAAGCAGGGUUUUAAUAAGAGAGUGAAAUUUCGCUUUAGCAAAGAGCUUUGAUAAAUGAAAAUAAAUGACAAAUUUUGGCAAUAUAAAAAAUUACACUAAAUAAUGGUUGCACAAUUUCUUAGCACUCAAAAAAGUUAACUACGAAUUAACUAUGAACACCAUUUUGGAAUAAUAUGAUAUUUAUUCUACUUCUUAGCAUACAGGCCCAAUGAGAUACUAAAUAUUCAUCAACAAUAAUUCAUUUUUAAUGGGAAAAGAACAAGUAACAUUUACUAUAUACCUAAAAGUAUCAGAGCUAGACUCCAGCAAGAAUAAGAAUUAUCUUUCUGGCAACUUAAGUUUCCAUAUCUAAAUAUCAGUUAUAUUUCUAUUACUCUAUUAGUUGGGAAAUACUUUGUAUUAUUUUCUCUUUCAAUCUUUUUCUGACUUAUAAAAUGUUCCUAGAAGCCAUGGAAGUCUUAUUUCAUUUGAUGAUCCUGUGGUACAUAUGGCUUCUGGAGGGAGCACAAAGGAAAGACGAGAUACCUGUGUUACCUUAAGGAAGAUUCAGUAUUCCUGAGGUAACUGGAAACAACUAACUUCUUAAAAAAACUAACUUCUAAGUUAGUAAGCUAUGGUGAUCCUGUUUCUGUUCACUGAGGCAUUAUCCUCAGGAGUAGAAACACAAAAUCAACCUGGUGUCCACAUCCACAGAACAUAGACACAUAAUGGAAAUUUAUUCCAUCAUGGAGAAUGAGAUGGUCUCAUUGGCAGGAAAAUGGAUGGAACUAGAGAUCACACACUAAGUGAAAUAAGCCAGAAUCACAAAAAUACAAUGUGGAUACAUUAAACACACACACCCCAUGAAUGUAGAAGGUGUCUAUUCUAGGAUGAGGAGGGAAACUAGUAGAGAGGAGGACAGAAAGAGGAAAUAGUGAAUGUGGUCAAAAUAUAUGAUAUAUUUGAUGGAAACUGUCAUGAAGCCCACUUCCUGACUCCUUUUCAACAUGGACUCUCACUAUGUAGCUCUGGUUGCCUUAGAACUAACAGAGACGCACUUGCCUGUCUCCUGAGUGUUGGGAUUAAAGGUGUAUGCCACCAUGUCUUUCAGUAUUACUGAUUUUUAUGAAAAACCUCUUUAACCGUAUAAAGUGUCCAGUCCCACACAGCAAGGUUGCUGCUAGGAAAUCCAGCACUGCUCAGGUGGACAGCUCCCAGACGGGCUCUGCGUGCUUCAGGGUCUUCCCUGGUAAGCUGACCAUCUUAUCCUGAUGGUUAACUAGGGAAUCUAUCACUGACCACAACAGCUCCAGAUAACGCACACAUGCCAUCUCAAAGGUCUCUUUUGCCAUAGCCUAAGAGGUGAUGGAAAACAGUGCACUGGUACUUGUCUUGUGCAAGGCAUCUGACAUCAUUUAAGGACGGGUGUUUUAAGAGGACUUGGUCUUGACUUGAUUGUAAAUGUGCUGUUUUUUCUUUUAUUAAUAAUUCAUCAUAAAAAGUAGGAUAUAAACAUAGGAUAAGUCUGGACAUACAUGAAUACACAUCCAUUCUUAAAUGCUUGGUUUGGAAAGGCUGUUUCAGCCCUAUAAGCCAAACUUCUGCAGAGAAAUUCAAAUAAUAUUUAAAGCUCUUGCUAGCAGCUUGGCUCUGGAAUAGGCAAUGGAGAAUUGUGCCGGAAAGGUUUGUUGAGACACCAGUGUUCUUGAACAUAGUUUGGCAUCCCAACAUAGCACCACUAACCAUUAUAGCAUCGAAGCUGAGAGAGGAAGUCAGAUCCUGAGGAAAUGGAGUAGUCUGGAAAAGGCUUCUUAUUCACUUAAGCUAGAUGCUAAACUGCUUCACCUUUAUUAGUAUCUUUCUUAGAUGGUAACUGGUGUUCGGGGGAAAGGCAGGUAAAGGAACUUGUUGUGAACAGGGACCUUUUGACAGUGCAAGUUCAUACAAAUGAGUUGAACAUGAAAAGGUCAAAUAAGAGGAUGAAUCCUAGCCACCACUAAGUCACAACAACACCACUAGGCUCAGUCAGAGACCAAGCUUGGUUGUCUUGGGUGGUUUAUCACACAGCAGUGACAUGAUCAGUGUGUCAAGUGUACUGCUUCCUAGACCUCUGUGCUGAUGCAAAGAAACGCCACCAUUGUUGAAAAACAGACUUAAAGGGAAGGUACUACACCUGCUCAGGGAUGCUCAAGUUUAGUAUCUACACACAGAUGUUAACUGUCUUUAUUAAUGAAAAUCCUGGGCAGAGGAAGCACCUCAGUUGAUAGAGGGCUCAUCUAGCAUGCACAAGGCUCCUGGGUUUGAUCCUUAGUACUGCAUAAACUAUACACGGUGGUAGUGACCAGAAGUUCAAGGUCAUCAUUUUUACAUUGUGAGUUGGAGGCAAGCCUGGGCUACAUUAUACUGUCUUAAAACAAACAAAAACACAAACAACCCACAAAGUAAAACAAAGUACAGCCAAUUCUACUAUUUUUAAUAUUAUACUAUUUUUUAAUUCUACUAAUUUUUAAUUGCAAUUAAAAAUACUAUCAUUUUUCCUGAAAAAAUUUUAUAAGAAUUUCUGAAAAUUGGGUUUCUUAGUUACAUAUUAAGAACACAGAAUAAUGCUUAACAAGAGUGAGUGCUUUUGAAAUAACUUCUGUUACUGUUGCAUCUACCACUUUACCAAAAACCGCAUUUUUAUCAGUUAUUUGUAAUCUGGACAUUUUUUUUUAUCUAUUUCUUUAGCUUUCAAUUUCCUCUUGACUUAUGUGGGGUCUUUAUAAAUGAAGAUCAUCUUGUCAUUCAUAUUUUAAAUAUUUUUCUAGUAAAUAUGUUGAUUUGGGCAUUUACACAUAUGAACAUUUUUGCAGUUACUAUGUAAAUUUAAGAAAUGAGGUAAAGUGUACUCAUUGUUAUGUCUGCAUAUAUUUCCGUACAAAACUGAGGUCAUACAAUAAUCACCAAAUGCUCUGUGAUGUGAUAUCCUCCCAUGCUGUGGCUCUAGAUGGUCCCAGAGUACACAGUCCUAUGGAGCACGUAACCAGUACUCUGUUGUAAGCUAUUACUAAUGAGUGUUUUCUUUCUUUGCAGCUAUAAAUAACAGCAUUGUCAUCAUAUAUAAAUUCAUGUGCACAAAUGGUCAAUAAUAAGGUUUCUAGAACUAGAAUUGUGUCUUCAGACAUACUCACUUCCAAAAUUAAAAAGCAGGAAAUAUAUCUGGAGCAUGUUUAAGUUAUCCAUUAAAAUUUUUUUUCUUUUUUCUUUUUUUUUUUUUUUUUUUCGGAGCUGGGGACCGAACCCAGGGCCUUGCGCUUGCUAGGCAAGUGCUCUACCACUGAGCUAAAUCCCCAACCCCCAUUAAAUUUUUUUAUUCAUAAAUGCUUAGUUUGAGCAAAAGUGUUGUUAAUAAACAGUUACAGAUAAUUAGCUGAACUGAUAUUAUAAUGAUUAAACUACUUUAACUAUAGUGUUACUCAAUUAAAAAGUUCACCAUCCAUUUGAGGAAUAUUUUUCUUGUUGUUGUUAGAUGUGUGAAUAUGCACGCCUGCAUGUGUGAGCACAUGUGCACAAGGAUGUUCAUGUGGGUAAAUGCCAGUUCAUGCAGAGAAUCAUCCUUACUGUUCUUCUACUUCAUUCAUCAGAGCAAGGUCCCUCAAUCAAACCCAGAGCUUACUGAUGCGGCUAGUUUCCCCAGUGAGCUUGCUCUGCUGAUCUCUUAUCUUUACCUUCAGAAGCUGGAAUUACAGGUAGGCUACUACAAAGUCCUAGCAUUUUACAUGGGUCCUAGAGAUCCAAACUCUGAUCCUCACAAACUACCAAAAAAUUUCCCCAGCAUCCCCCCACCCAAAUGUUCUCAGACAGGGUCUCCCUGUGUAGUCCAGGCUGGCUGCAAGCUCAGGAUUCUCCUGCCUCCACUUCUGGAAUACUGGAAUUACAGGCUUGCAGCACCAUGCCUGGCUUGAAAUUUUUCUUUUAAAAUGCUGUUUCUUUAUUAUUUUUUUAAAAAACCAUCCUAUACUUAGAAUUUUACAUAGUAACUGCAAAACUUUUCGUAUAUGAAAUAAGCUAGACUUUUAUAUUUACUAAGACUACACUUUGCCCUUUACCAUAACUUUGAUACAGUUCUUAGUUCAUGACAAUAAGGCAUAAGAAUUUUACUCGGUAUUUCUGGAAACUGUCCAAGGAUUUAGCAGUGCCUCUCCCUGGAACAGUAAACCAGGUUGCUGAAGUUGUUAGCCACAAUCUUGCAACCACAAGGCGGCGCCAGAUGGAGCAAGAAGGUAGUAUCGUCUAUGCCAGUCUCAAAUGCAUGUUCUGUGAGGUGAUAUACUUUGAGAACUAAGAGUGGUAAGUGUUUGGGCAGGAACAGCUGUCAACAUCUGCCUUUCUCAAUUUUUUUGGUAGCUGCUAUAUUUAGAAACGUUGUUCCUGUCUAGAAUCAAGUAUAUGUCCAUAAAAUAAUUUUAUGCUUUUCUUAAGAUGUAAGCUGCACAGGGAUGAGAGGGAUCACAACUAGGUCUUUUAUCUCAUACUCAUGCCAGGAAUGGCAGUCAGUGGGUGCACUCUAUAGAUUAUCUGUGAUUUAAAAGUGUGGCGUGACUAUAGGGCUGUAGAUUCUUUAGAAUGCAGGUCAGGUCGAGCAGAUGGGCAUAAUAAAAGUGGACCAGCUGCUAGGUGAGUGGGCAGGAUGCUAACCGGCUCCCUCUGGUCAGGCACUAAGAAGGGUUAAUAUCAAAUCACAUGAAAAGUCUUUGUGAAACAGGUGCAGAAAGUCACUGAGGAAAAGGAAGUCACUGGGAAAUAGGCAGGGAGAUGAACUGAUAUGAACAGAUGCACUGAUGUGUGCACCCACAUAAUAGUUAUUUGACUACAGAAGACUUAAGCUAUAGUGAAGAGUCUGCCGGUUAACACCAUCAAGCCAGGAUUUCAUGCAAAGUCAGGAACACCUACCUCCAGUUUAGACAGCUUUUCCAGAACACACCAGCACUAAACUGCCUAUAGUCAUUUCUGUGGGUGAUCCUAAGAAGUACAUUAGGAUCCACCAAAAUCUACCUCCUUUUGGUUUUUUUUUUCCACCCCUCAACUGCUUGUGAUGAAUGUUUCAUGGAACUCCCUCGUAGCCGCCCUCAGGUGUCCUUACAGAAAACUAGAUCCAAACCCAAGCUGCAGCUGACACCUUGUGCAGAGAUAAACCCUGCUGCACUGAGCCUUGAAGAAACUGUCAUGAGCAAGGUGGCGGGAGUGCAGACACAGCCAGUGUGCUGCAGGAGAGGCCUUUAAAUGGCCUCUCUCUUUGCAGGCUUUCUGCUUCUGUUUCUCUGGCUUAGUCCCUUCUCUUUGAUCUACUCUUAGGGUCAGCUCUCACUCUUCUUUAAGCCUCCUUAGAGAGAGCUCUGUAGAGCAGCCUGAUCCUGAGGGACCUUGCUCCACAGUAUUACAUAAUCUGUAGUUUUUCUUUAUUCGCACGCUUUGUUUCACUCCUUGACUAGAAGGUAUACUCCACGAAGAUAAGAUCUAUUUCUGCUCCAUUCAGGACUUCAUUCCCAAAAAGUGUCUGAUGGUGAAUUAAUCAUUAUUAGCCUGAAUAAAACAAAUGUACGUAUUAUACAUGAGAGGUGCUUGUCUGAGAAAAGGUCAUAUGGAAGCUUGAUCUGCAGGGAGGGCUCAGUAGUUGUGGGGUUAUCAGAACAUGGAAGGAAGAACUGACCUGUCACAGAGCCAUGAGGAAGAGCCAAGCCACUCAGAAACAUUCGGGACAGCAGAGAUUUGGCAGCAGUCAUGUUCUUCAGCAGGGGAGGCCUUCAAGAGCGACGUUGAUGGCCAUGGCUCUAGAGCAGUCUAACUGUAUGUUCUAGAGGAGUCUGGCAUAAACAAACAUCCACUUGAAAGACAACUGGGAUAGCUGACAAAUGGAAAAGUCUGAGUUUCGUUGAGCAUUGUUUUCACAGCAAAAGGAUUUUGUUAAAAACACAAAAUCUUCACCUUAAACUGACUCCCAAAGAUAUUCUAAAUUAAGUGCCAGUUUUAGGAUUUUAAUAAUUCUUUUUUGGGGUGGGGCAAAAUUCAGUGCCCAAAUGUCAUUCAUCGAGUGACUAAGGAAAACGCACACUUCUAUUCUCUUUCGUGGUGAAAUGACUGAGGAGAAAGCCAUGGUUGAAGGAAAGUUUGCAGACCUGGUGGCUUCUGCAUCUUCACCACAUUUCCGUUUUUACUGGAUAUUUCCAAAUGUAAAGGACAGAUUCUUACACUAGUUCACACGACAGAUUGUCAGAUGAGACCAUGUAAAGGAAUCCAGUGUGCGCAAUGAUCAUCUCUCGCGUCCGUCUUUUCUGCUUCACAUAAUGUGGUUGACAGGAGAUCAGAUGGCACACACUUGGUGGGAAAAUGCCAUUUCUUAUAAGAAAAUAUCACCACACAGGGUGGUUGCUACUGUGUCAAUUACAAUAACUUAUUUUCUGUUUUUACACUUAGGAGGCACAUGCAACUGAAAAACACCUCAGUUUUACUUGACUGUUCCGGGAUGAGCACACACUGCCCACACUGCAGACUGUGGAGGGCAGGCAUUUACCUACUAGAUCCCACUCACAUUUAGGAGAAAUAAAUCUUCUUGGGCCUUUCCCUCUAAUUUUGCUAGACUGGGUUUCUGAAGAAUAUUGAAGAACCCCAUAUGUGAAUUUACAAGUGAAAGCUAUUCUGUAAAUUAUUAACAAAUAAUCUAACAAGGUAAAUGGACCAAAGACAGUUGGUUUGCUAAACAGCACUGAAGAAAAUACUGGCCCAAGUGACAUGACUUGUUUCUAACUGAAGAAAUUAUACAACAGUAUUUAUAGGCUGACCUUUGAAGAGAAAGUUGACAUUAAUACUCUACAUAUUUUAAUGGCAAUAAACAAACCAAGAGUUUAUGUGAUUAAGGCUUUUAACACAAGUUGAAUAUCCUGGAUUAUCUGGCUGGAGCCUUAACGCAGUCACAUAAUUCCCAAGGAGGUGGCAGUGGGAGAACUGAAGAUGCCAGUGUAGACAGCACUGUUGUCAUGAGGGUAGACAGCAAGAAUAGAGACUGGAGCGGUGAUGUACCCACAAGCCAUGCACUGGUGGGGGCUAUCAGAAGCUGGAAAGGUAGGAGAGUGAUUUCCUUUAUCACCUUUGGAGAGAACACUGUCUUGCUAACAGCUUGUUUCUGCUCAGUAAACUGAAGGAAAGCUUUCUGUUAGAACUCCGUUCCUGUUGUUUAAGCACCACACUUACAACAACCAUUUCCAGUAGGCUUUGGCACUAAUUCCGGGGGUUACAUAGCACAGCUAUGGCAAUAGCUUGACUCAGCUCCAAACCAGCAGUGUUGCUAUUAACAACAACAGAAGGUAGAGACUUAGAGAGUGCCGAAACCAUGUUGAGUAUACUAACUUUUCUAAUACUUGUAACUGUAGUCCCACAUACAGUUUCAUUUCCCUUUUACACAUGAGAAAACUGAGCCACACGUGAUCUAAGCAUGUUGUCCUAUAGAGCAGAGACAGGAACUCAGUCUCAUGGUAGACUAAAGUGAGAACUCUCUAAGCUAGGAAGAACCACAGUGGAGGCUAGAAAUCAGCAAGAGUUGGUGAUUCUUCAACUCAGGAAGAAUAAAAACUUUAAGACGUUGUUUUCUCAGUCAAGACUAAUUCUUGCACGUACUAAUUCCUUCAUUUGCUUGGUAUUGUUGAAUGCACACAGAUAGCUCUGGAGAACUCACUGGCAUCUGUGCUCCCAGAUGUAACAAGGCUAGCCAGUAAGAAACACUGUAACAGGCACUGUGCCCUGGCCCCUAUGGAACCCAAUCACACCUGAGGAUGCCAUUCCUCCUGAACUACUGUUAACCUAGUUGAAGAUAUAUGUGUAAAGGGAUAAAUGGCUUACGACUUAAACACUGGGGAAAAAGUACCGGCAUUAUAAAAGACUGCAAACAUUUUCUUUUGGGCAAAUUUCUUAUAAAUCACAUAGCUGAGUAAGAGAUUCUCUGCCCUGACGUACUUUAGGGGCAUUCACACCUGCAGCACACCCCAGGGGUCAUACAACCCCUAAGACACAUACAUUUUGCUCACUCAAGAAAGCAAGUAUCAGCUUUAAAGAAACGACCUUGAAUCAGCCCUGCUUAUAACUCAUAAUGUAACAUAUCCCGUGUCCUACUCACACCCGACAUAGAUGUGCCUUAUCCAACUCUAUAAUUCAGAGAUAAAAAGAGGAUGACAUAAAGCCUAAAUCUUGUAACUAACAUCAGGCUCAAGGGCCUCCCCUCCCACUGAAUUCACCACCUCAGCCUCACAAAUGACAGCCAGGAGAGAGAAGUAAAGAUGGCUGUUAGAUGGUUUCACCGGGAGACUCUGUGGAGGGCAGCAUUGUUUGAAGAACACGGAGAACAAGGCAGGAAACAUGUGUGAAACAUGGUGAUAAGAUGCAUAGUACAGGUUCUGUCUGCAGAUUCUGUAACGUGAAACAAUGUCAGCCCAUGGCAUGGGAGGGGAUAGAUGCAGAUGGUUCCACGAGAUGGAAGAGUGUGCUUUUAACUUUUAGGAGACGGAAGGGUUUAUGACUAGACAAACAUUAUCACCAAAACUCAGACUACAGUGCUGUACAUGUAAGAGUCAAGGAGGACACCUGCAAGGUCCCUCAGCGUGGGCUGGGGCAUCUUUAUGCUGUUGCUGGUUUUUAUAGGAGAAUACCUAUGCAUAAUGCACAAACCAUGGCUUUGAGUUUUAAAACUCUGCAUAAGAGAGAGCUCGACAACGACUGGGCUGAUGUCAUCGUUCCUUAAGUAUUCAAAGUGUGUUAAUUGUAAUAAAAAUGUUAAUUAAAAAUUUAGGCCAAAAUACUGAGAUUAGAGCUAUAUGUUGUUUCUAUUUAUAAUUUAUUCAUUGAAAGCUCAAUAAACUCACAAAUUAGUGUGUAAAAGUGAAUUUAUGGUAAAUACUUGAUUAUAUCUUAGUUCUCCAAGAAUAUUCUUUAUCAACUCAUUUUCUAUAAAUGACUCAUUUCCUAGCCAUACAAAUACAAAAUAAAACCAUUUAUAAUAGGUGACUAUCCUGAGUUAAUAUAUUAUUUAUAAUUCUAUAUUCAAUAUUCUAAUUUAAAUAAAUAUUCUAAGUAAACAUCUUAUUUUACAAUUAGAUCCUCCUCCUCCUUUUUUUGAGACAAGGUCUCACCAUGUAUCCUUGGCUGUCCUACAACUUAUUAUGUAGAUCAGAUUGGCCUGAAAUUUACAGAGAUUCACCUGCCUCUGCCUCCUAAGUGCUAGGAUUAAAGGCGUGUGCCACAACACCUGAUAUAAUUAGAUUAAAAAAAAGUACAGAUUCUCAUUAAUAAAUUUGGAUAGAAUAUGAUGUUUGGCAACAUUAAGACAUUCCAAUGAAACUAAUACAUUUUCUUUAUGUAAGAUUACAGUGUUGCCUCCAAUGAGUCCUCAGUGCACUUAACUCGGAUGAAUUUGUAAGCAAGUAGAUGGAGAAUGAACAACACAGCUAAGAGAAAAUAAUACUUAAUAUCAUGUUAUAUUGUAGUUAUUUUUAUCAUGAACACUUUGAUAUUGUUAAUUUUUUACACAGCCACUGUUAAUUGCUGCACAGAUGUAUAAUAUAUACUAUUGUCUUAAUAUUUAAAUUUUUCCACUGCUUUCUACUUUCGUAAGAAAUGUUGUAAGAAAAAUUUUUACAAAUAAAUUUUACAUACAUUUUAAAUAAUUUUCUUAAUAUUAAUUAAUUAGAAGAGUAAUAUUAAUUUUAAUUAACAUUAAUUAGCUAGAAUGGAGGCAAAACAUUUUUAGAUUUUUUUUUUCUUUUUUCUUUUUUUUUCCAGAGCUGGGGACUGAACCUAGGGCCUUGCGCUUGCUAGGCAAGCGCUCUACCACUGAGCUAAAUCCCCAACCCCCCUUUAGAUUUUUUUAAUAUACUGCUAAAUUAUUCUGUGAUGAGUUCUCACCACUUAAUGUGCAUAUGAUGUGUGCAGGUAUACAUGUCUGUACAGAGGCAUGUAAAUGGGCAAGCAUAGGUGUGCAUGCAUAUGAUGUGCACAGGUAUUCACGUCUGUACAGAAGCAUGUAAAUGGGCAAGCAUAGGUGUGCUCAUGCACGCAGAGGCUGACACUGAGUGUCUUCCUCUACUGCUUUCCGCCUUAUGUUCGAGAGUCUAACUGAACCUGGAGCUCACCAAUUCGGCUACACCAGACAUCUCAGACUCACCUAUAUCACUUGGUAGUACUUUCAUAUAUUUGCUAAGCAAGAGGAAAGAAAACAAAGAACCUCACCAUGUGGUACUCAUACUUAAACCACACAUCUUAUUACAUAGUUACCUUGUUACACAGUUACAUUUUCUUAGGCUAAUGAAAUACAUGAAAAAAUUAAAUAUACUAGGGAGUAAUUUUUUAAACUUGCACUAGGGAUAUGGUUCAAUGAUAAGACAAGUUUGCCUUACAAAUGUUGAGACCAUGGGUCCCACCCCCAGCACACCACAAACAGAACCCCCCCAUCCAAAACAAACAAACAAACCCUAAACAUUCUUUAAGUGGCAGGUUUUUUUCACUAAGUGGUGAACAGCCAUUACAAUAGAAUAUUCUUCACAAAAGUCCGAGAAGGCCGGCGGAGCAGUGGGGCAGGGGGGAAGGCAGCAGAGGAGAGUAAGUAUGUUACAAAGCCCGAACUGAAGAUGGCCUCCGCAGCCGGCCUCCGCAGCCGUGCUUCCCGCAGUGGCAAUAAAGGGGAAACUUAAUGAGUUGCAAGGCUUACAUGAUUUAGUAGGCAUAUUUAAUAAGGCAGGUAACUAAAAUAAAUACUCCCUGCACCCAAAUAUGCCCUUUGUAUCUUUAGAACAAUUAUUUUUGUUGCGGAAGGAGCAAAGAUGAAUUGCUCGGCAGCAACUGGAGGGCUUUUGUUUCUGGUGUCUGAACGCAUUUCCAGCUCCACUUGUGAUUGUAUGCUUCCUAUUCACCAGCUUGCUCCUCCUGAGUCUGGGGUAGCAUGAAUAUUGUGAUUUAGUGUAAACAUCUAUUCACUAAAUCCCUUUCCUUUUACUAAUGAAUGCUCUACAAAGAGCCAAUCUCUCCAGCUUGUAGCAAUUAAAACAGAAAAGAGCAAUGAAAAUGUAGCCAUGUUUCCAUCCCCUCCCCCUUUUCUCUGAUACCACCUAUAGGGGCCAGACGUGGUUGCCAUGGAGACAACAGCUGUUGGGCGGUGAGUGACAGGUCUCAAGAGAGAAAUGUCUGAGAAAGGGAACAUCUCAAGUUAAAACAAAAGUGGUGAGGGAAAAAAACAAAGCAAGCUGUUUCCCUGACACGGGGAGACUCAAUUGAAAGGUGUAUCCAGCCCGAGAGAAGAAAAUAAAGGUUUCCCCCUCUUUCAUCUAACACAGGAAAUGUUUUCCUUCCAACGGGGAACAGACUUCUUUUAAGUAAAUCUGAAGCAUAUGUACACAUCUUGGCAUAAUUACAUUUUAAAAUUGGGAUUCAUACUGAUGCACCAAAUUGGUUGCCGUAGUAAUGAGCUAUCACCUAGGCAACGGGUUUGCUGCUCUUUCUGGAAAGCAAAUCAUCAGAGUCCGACGUGGGGGAAUGGGUUGGAGAAGGGAGGCAGAGGACACGUACUGACAGUGGGGGAAGUGGACUGUGGAGGGGCAACAGACGACACUGGCCACAUCUAGGAGGAGACAAGGAUGAGACAAAUUGGUUUUGACAAGCCAUCAUUAUUUUCCAAAUAUGCUUUUUAUCAUAUUAUUCACCAGUUGGGUGGGAGGAGGAGGAGGGUGCUGAGGGUGGGAAGGAAAGAACGUCUGUGGUUUCAAUGAUAAUUUUUGCUGAAGCCUUUUUAUUUUUCUAAAAGGCUGCCAUUUGUCAAGGUGCAGAUGCAGAGGCAUAUUUAAAUGGAUCAGCUUUUGGCUUAUACCAUAAAUCUCAGAGAUUUUCUCCAGAAUUGUAAGAUCAAUGACUUGUACACAGUAAUAUUAUUCUAAUAGCACAGUUUAGUAAUAUAUGCAGGAUAAGGUUUCAAAUUCAGUAGCUGAAAUCUCCUAGACGUUUCAGAGGACAAACAUACCUUGGUUUCUUCGUUAAGAACACACACGCUUUCCCACACUGUUCUUGCUUCCAAGGCUUAUUAGUAAAUGCCCAGCAGACUUUCUUGCUGGAAGACUCUGUUCCUUAGAUUUUGUUCCCCUGUACCUUGUAGUUAUCACGGUCUACUUUGACAUACUGGUGACUGUGUGUUUGAAAACUGCUGGCUGGGCGGUGGUGAUGCACACCUUUAAAUCCCAGUACUCAGCGGCAGAGGCAGGUAGAUCUCUUGAGUUCGAGGCCAGUCUGGUCUAUAGGGCAAGUUCCAGGGCAGCCAGGGAGACACGGAGAAACUCAAAAACAAAACCAAACAAAAGAAGAAGAUUGCUACUUCCUUUCUUUCUUCCUUUCCACCCCAACUGCUUGGCAGUCAUUUCUACUUGAAUGACUCAUUUAUACCCGAAACACAUCAUGCCUACACUAGUGUCCUGAAACUAUAUGGCAGUUUCUGUCCCAUCCCUUUUGUCUCAGGGACUCAAGACAUUAGCUAUCUAUGACGUCAACUUGGAAGAAUAGGACCCUCAUUUCUGCCUCAUAUCACCCUCCACCAAACAACCCUCAUGGUCUGCUCAUUUCCUCUCAGCUGGGUGACUGCGGCCAUCACUGCUUUUCUCCAAAGGAUGCCAUCAGGUUCAAAAUUGGCUACUCUGUUUCCCCUUUGGUAAACAUUUAUUUAAAAUCCCCAAACUGACCACAGCACUUUUCUCUUCCCAUUUCCAUGGAAUAUGGCAAGAAACUAGCUGAUAGCGCUACCAAUGUAUAAACACAAAACAGCUACAGCUGAGUUUGCAAGAAAGCCGAAGUCAGCACUCCCAUGGACUCCCGUGGGGGGCGGGGUGGAAGGUGAAGACAGAAACAUCCCCCGAGGCUCGUGGGCCCCUGAGCCUGAGCAUGCAGCAGAAAACGACAAAUGGCAAAGAAGAACAGCUGGAUAAUUUUUAACAUACUUAAAAAUGUUCACACCACAAUCUAGCAUUUCUAGUCAGAGUUUAGGCUUUAAAGCAGCAGUUCUCAAAGUGUGUCCCAGGGGAACCCUGGGCAUGGCUGAAAUCCUCUUAAGGGAUCCAUUAAGAACAAAAUAAUUCCCAAAGAAUAGAAGUAGGCUAUUUGUUUUUGUAAAAAUUCUUACUCUUUCAGACGUGUACAGAUGAGUAUUCUAGAGACCAUCAUAACGAGUGUUGAUGUUUUGGUUUUUGAGGCAGGGUAACUCAUUUGGUAGACCAGGCUGGCAUUAACUCAGAGAUCCACGUGUUUCUGUCUCCUGAGUGCUGGUAUUAAAAGUGUGCACUACACACACCUGGCAACAUCAACAUUCUUACAGAUAACUGGAUCUGUGCCUGCAUGUUCCUGCAAUGUACAGAAGUUUCUAAAAAUGAACUCUCUGGGGUCUUUAAUAAAAGCAACUUCUUCAAAGAACAGGCUUACUUGAAGGGAAGAGAAAAUGCACAACAUUGUUAAUUGAAGUCUUUUGUGAAAUGAUGAAAACUGAAAAGCAAAUUGUUAACUAUUAAGGAAAUUGUAAACUAAAGCCUGCUUCUCAGACAGGGUCUUUACGUAGACUUGGCUGGCCUGGAAGUCAGGCUGGCCUAGCCUCACUGAGAUCCCCCUGGCUCUGCCUCCUGAGUACUUGCGAUUAAAGAUGUGCAACUUCAAUUCCCAGUCAUAUGGAAAGUUUUAAAUAAUAACAUGAAGAAGUACAAUGUUUAAAUAAAUGAUCACUGUACUACUCUAAGGAAAAUCUUGAAAUGCUACAUGCAGGCAGCAUCAUGAUGCAGUGCCUAUAAUCCCAGCCCCGGGGAAGCUAAUGCAGGAGAAGAAUGAGUGCAGGCAAGCCUGGGCUACAUAGUACAACUAUCUCAAAAAAAAUCAAACACAAACCAGAAACCUAUACAACAAAACACUAUUAUGCUGGGUGGAAAACAAAAGCUACUAACACAAACCAAAAGUCAACAAAACACCAAGCACCAAAUCAAGCUGCUGAAAACUAUGCACAGGGGAAUGUAGGAAGCAAAUGUUUUAGCCACGAUGAAAACAGAACAGAACAAAAAAAAUCCCCUCCCCCAGUCCCCAAAAUGUCUAACUACUCGAGGCUGCAGUCUAACCAGCAGUUAUUGACGACGAGCAGCCUUGGCAGAAGAAGCCAGCUCUUCACACCCUGUUAGCAAGCACUUCUGUGCGGCUAGAAGACUGGGAGUUAGGCUAAGUGAACAGUCCUCCUUGCUGUAGUGCUAGCUAGUCACUAUCCGGGUAUGUGCAUGGUGGGUAAGAGCUCUCUUGCAACAUGGGAAGGGCAAUUUUCAUCAUUCCAGGGAAUAGUCUGAGUUUGUUAUAAGGAAACAAGUUUGAAUGUUUUUGUACAAGACUUUGGACUUAUAUUUGUCAUAAGUUUAUUUUACCCGUGAACCUUAGCGUCAAUUAAUUUAUUUUUGCAUCAAUGAUCUAGCUCUGAUGAGCUCCGCCUGUAUAAACUGUUGGCAUACUACUGAUGAUGAUCUUACUUUACUAUAAAUGUAUCUUUUCUUUUUUAAAAAUUAUUAUUUAAAAAAAUAUUACUGUGAUAAUUUGAAUGAGCAUGGCCUCUACAGGCUCAUAUAUUUGAAUAGUUUGUUUGGGAAGAACUAUGGCCUUGCUGGAGGAAGUGUGUCACUGGGGGUGGGCUUUAAGGUUUUGUAAGUUUACGCCACACUCAGACACCCCAUCUCUGCCUCAUGCCUGUGGAUCAGGAUAUAAAUUCUCAGGCACUGCUUGAGCACUCUGCCUGCCUGCUGGCUUCUGCAUGCCCCUGCAGGCUCCAUGACUCCUGUAGAAUCACAGGCCCCUACAUUAAACACUUCCUUUUAUAAGUUGUGUUGGUCAUGGUGUCUCUUCACAGCAAUAGAAAAGUAACUGAGAUAGUUAGCAGACAAAAUGAUGGAUUUUUUGGGUGUUCUAAAGCAACUCCAGCGUUCUGGAGGUACAGGAAAAAGAGCAGGACAAACCUAGUGAAUUUGAGGCCAGUCCUGGCUAUAUGAGAUCCUGUCUUAAACAAAUAAACAAAGCCUUCCAAAUAAAGAGAUAGACUUUACAUCAGCACACACACUCUAUUCUCAUUUGUUCUUAUUCACUCCUGCUCCACCUCUCCUUUCCUGUUUGUGCUUUGAUUUUUUUGAAACAGGGUUUCUCUGUGUAGCCCUGGCUGCCCUGGAACUCGCUCCGCAGACCAGGCUGGCCUCAAACUCAGAGAUCCACCUGCCUCUGCCUCCUGAGUGUUGGGAUUAAAGGCAGGUACCACCAAUGCCUGGCUCCCACCCACUGUCCCUUCUUAAUCUCCCUGUCCCUUCUUGCUGGUCCCUUCCUCUGCUUUCGUGUCACUUGCAUCCCUUGCCUUCCUUAAGAUUCAUUCCUCCCUGCCCAUAGCCCUCUUUUACUAUAUUUGUAGAAACAUAAUUUCAAGUAAAAAUAGAUCUAAAAAAGUUAAGAUUUUGGUAAACUUUUGUAACUGUCCCCCAACAAAGUCUUUUUCCUCAGCCUAGGUUGGACUCUUCACUGAGCUCCUCUGGCAGUCACUACCUCCCCAGGGCAUCAUAAUCUCUUCACCUUACUGGUCUGAAUGUUAACACAUUGCGUGUGUGUGUGCGCGCGCGCGCGCGUGUGUGUGUGUGUGUGUGUGGAGAGAGAGAGAGAGAGAGAGAGAGAGAGAGAGAGUGUUAGUUGAGCUUCUUGUGGGUGAAACCUUGCCUUCCUCAUUUUCACAUCUCCAUUCAGAAAUAAUGAACAAAUUCAUAUUUAUUACUCAUUAAAAAUACUACAAAGAUAGUUAGAAGCUACUCUCUGAUCAAAGAUACAUUUUCAACACUCAGGCAAGGCCAAGCAGCAGAUCCGUGAGUCUGUACUGUCCUUGUGAACACAGCAGAGUAGACAGGCACAGGGAUGCAAUCCCCGCCUGUUGUUAGGUGACAGUUGCCUGAGACCCUGCUGGCAGGGUCAAAACUAAGUCCAUGUUUCCAGGUCCUGAAACCAACUCUUACCUGAGUCUUCAGGUGUUUGUGUGUUACCCAGUAAAGAAUGUAAAGAGGGCACACAAGUCAUACAUGUAUUGCUGCUGGGACUGAAAUUGACUGUGUGCAGCUUGCCCACUCCUUUGUACCCCCGUCAUUCUGAAUUCCUGGACAGAAGUCCAGGAGGAGACUUGACUGCAAGAGCUGUGACUUCCAAAUAAAGAGAAUACUGAAGCCAGGUGACUCAGAUGAGGCCCAGUCACCAACGUUUACUUCCUUGUUCAACCUCUGUAUCAAAAUAUGAUUGGAAAAUGCUGCAGCCUGCCCUGCUUCCCCUUGCUUUGGGGGUUCCAUUUAAAAAUAUUGUACAAUAUUGUAUCUCUUCAGGAUCACACAUUGUUCAGCUCCCUAGUCUUCCCUUAUUGAUUAGUAGUGGCCUUAGUACAAUAAAAAUUUUGGCAUAUGCUUUAAUACCAAGAUGAUUGUUCAAAGGCACAGUCAAUUC